GUUCCGGUGGCCUAGUGGUUUAAGCGUCCGCCUUGGAUGCGGUAGGUAAUGGGUUUGAUCCCGGCCGAAUCA